UUUGAUUCUCCUUUGCUGCUUUUUCCUGCUCCUUCAGUUCAUUGAUCCUCUCUGGUGUGAAAGGGUAAGCCUCUACACCAUACUCGCUCACUAAUCCAACACCAUCCUCAGUGUAAACUUCACCAGUUUUUGCAUCAAGAAUGACAAGGUGUGGGAUACCAGAGACCUUAAACCGGCCAUCAAGGGCCUCACGGCCUUCAGAGUCAGAGAAAGGGACCGCCAACCAUGGCAUCUUUGCAAAGUACUCAUUGAAUGCUUCCUCAUCCUGAUCACCUGAAACAAAGACGACCUCGAAGCUCUUGCCCUGAGAAGCCAGUUCUUUGUAUGCUUC
rnacentral:lncRNA from 1 species